rnacentral:rRNA from 1 species
GAUGAACGCUGGCGGCGUGCCUAAUACAUGCAAGUCGAGCGAACGGACGAGAAGCUUGCUUCUCUGAUGUUAGCGGCGGACGGGUGAGUAACACGUGGAUAACCUACCUAUAAGACUGGGAUAACUUCGGGAAACCGGAGCUAAUACCGGAUAAUAUUUUGAACCGCAUGGUUCAAAAGUGAGAGACGGUCUUGCUGUCACUUAUAGAUGGAUCCGCGCUGCAUUAGCUAGUUGGUAAGGUAACGGCUUACCAAGGCAACGAUGCAUAGCCGACCUGAGAGGGUGAUCGGCCACACUGGAACUGAGACACGGUCCAGACUCCUACGGGAGGCAGCAGUAGGGAAUCUUCCGCAAUGGGCGAAAGCCUGACGGAGCAACGCCGCGUGAGUGAUGAAGGUCUUCGGAUCGUAAAACUCUGUUAUUAGGGAAGAACAUAUGUGUAAGUAACUGUGCACAUCUUGACGGUACCUAAUCAGAAAGCCACGGCUAACUACGUGCCAGCAGCCGCGGUAAUACGUAGGUGGCAAGCGUUAUCCGGAAUUAUUGGGCGUAAAGCGUGCCUAGGCGGUUUUUUAGUCUGAUGUGAAAGCCCACGGCUCAUUUUUGGAGGGUCAUUGGAAACUGGAAAACUUGAGUGCAGAAGAGGAAAGUGGAAUUCCAUGUGUAGCGGUGAAAUGCGCAGAGAUAUGGAGGAACACCAGUGGCGAAGGCGACUUUCUGGUCUGUAACUGACGCUGAUGUGCGAAAGCGUGGGGAUCAAACAGGAUUAGAUACCCUGGUAGUCCACGCCGUAAACGAUGAGUGCUAAGUGUUAGGGGGUUUCCGCCCCUUAGUGCUGCAGCUAACGCAUUAAGCACUCCGCCUGGGGAGUACGACCGCAAGGUUGAAACUCAAAGGAAUUGACGGGGACCCGCACAAGCGGUGGAGCAUGUGGUUUAAUUCGAAGCAACGCGAAGAACCUUACCAAAUCUUGACAUCCUUUGACAACUCUAGAGAUAGAGCUUUCCCCUUCGGGGGACAAAGUGACAGGUGGUGCAUGGUUGUCGUCAGCUCGUGUCGUGAGAUGUUGGGUUAAGUCCCGCAACGAGCGCAACCCUUAAGCUUAGUUGCCAUCAUUAAGUUGGGCACUCUAAGUUGACUGCCGGUGACAAACCGGAGGAAGGUGGGGAUGACGUCAAAUCAUCAUGCCCCUUAUGAUUUGGGCUACACACGUGCUACAAUGGACAAUACAAAGGGCAGCGAAACCGCGAGGUCAAGCAAAUCCCAUAAAGUUGUUCUCAGUUCGGAUUGUAGUCUGCAACUCGAGUACAUGAAGCUGGAAUCGCUAGUAGUCGUGGAUCAGCAUGGUACGGUGAAUGCGUUCCCGUGUCU